UCAAGGAGUAGGGAUCGGAAAAAAUCUCGAUCCAGAAGCAGAGACAGGAAGAAGUCAAGAUCCAGAAGCAGGGAUAGAAAACGGAGGAUCAGAACACGUUCCCGGUCAAGAUCCAGACACAGGCAUAGGACUAGAAGCAGGAGCAGAUCACGGAGUCGAAGUCGAGAUAGAAAGAAGAGAAUCGAAAAACCAAGAAGAUUUAGCAGAAGCCUAAGCCGGACACCUAGUCCGCCUCCCUUCAGAGGCAGAAACACAGCAAUGGAUGCCCAAGAAGCACUAGCUAGGAGGUAUGUAUAUUUUCCCAUAUAAUUUAUAUUUUUUCCUUUUCAACUUUUAAGUAGCUGGUCAACUGUAUAGACAAGCUUUUAACUCAGAAUAAUCUUCCCUCCCUCAAUCCUAACCGUAAUGCUUGUGUGCAUUUGUGUACAGAUCUGUCUGAGGAGAUAUUUAGUUGGCGAUUUCAUUGGUUUUUAAUUUGCACGUUCAGGAAGACUGAGAAGCUUUUGCCUUUGGAAUUAACUGAUUUUUUUUCUCACACAUUUAGACUUUUAAUGUCUUUGGUUUGCAUUUGAGGACUUUGAGUUAUAAAUAUGCCUCAAGGACCUCUUAGUUGUCUUUUCCCUUUUUUUCUUAAGACAAA
rnacentral:lncRNA from 1 species